AUGAACGUUGGCGGCGUGGAUUAGGCAUGCAAGUCGAGCGAGAAUCCCGGCUUGCCGGGAGGACAGCGGCGAAAGGGACAGUAAUGUGUAGAUUAUCUGCCCUCAGGUCCGGGAUAGCUGCGGGAAACUGCAGGUAAUACCGGAUGAUAUCUCCGGAUCAAAGGUGUGAUUCCGCCUGAGGAUGAGUCUGCAUCCUAUUAGCUAGUUGGCAGGGUAAUGGCCUACCAAGGCGAUGAUGGGUAGCGGGUGUGAGAGCACGACCCGCGUCAUUGGGACUGAGACACUGCCCAGACACCUACGGGUGGCUGCAGUCGAGAAUCUUCGGCAAUGGGCGCAAGCCUGACCGAGCGACGCCGCGUGUGGGAUGAAGGCCUUCGGGUUGUAAACCACUGUCAGAGGGGAUGAAAUGCAGGUGGGUUCUCCCAUCUGUUUGACAUAGCCUCAGAGGAAGGACGGGCUAAGUUCGU
rnacentral:rRNA from 1 species